GGAAGGUAAAAGUCGUAACAAGGUUUCCGUAGGUGAACCUGCGGAAGGAUCAUUCACAGUAAGUGUUUUUAUGGCACUUUAAAAUCCAUAUCCACCUUGUGUGCAACGUUUUGAGGUCUUUUUAUCAUUUCGCCGGCUGCAGAAUGUUUGUUCUACAGCCGCGGAAGGCAAGAUAAGGAGGCUUUUUAUAUCUUAACUCUUGAUCUUUAACAAAUUUGUCUGAAAAUCUAUUGCGAAUUAACUUUCAAAAUAAAUACAACUUUCAACAACGGAUCUCUUGGCUCUC
rnacentral:misc_RNA from 1 species